rnacentral:tRNA from 1 species
GCAGGGAUAGCUCAGUUGGGAGAGCGUUAGACUAAAGAUAUGAAGGUGGCGUGUUCGAUCCACGCUCACCGCA